GAUGAACGCUGGCUACAGGCUUAACACAUGCAAGUCGUGGGGAAACGGCAUUAUGUGCUUGCACAUUCUGGACGUCGACCGGCGCACGGGUGAGUAUCGCGUAUCCAACCUGCCCCUUACUUGGGGAUACCCCGUCGAAAGACGGCCUAAUACCCGAUGUGUUUCAUUGACGGCAUCCGAUAUGAAACAAAGGUUUUCCGGUAAGGGAUGGGGAUGCGUCUGAUUAGCUUGUUGGCGGGGCAACGGCCCACCAAGGCGACGAUCAGUAGGGGUUCUGAGAGGAAGGUCCCCCACAUUGGAACUGAGACACGGUCCAAACUCCUACGGGAGGCAGCAGUGAGGAAUAUUGGUCAAUGGACGCAAGUCUGAACCAGCCAAGUAGCGUGCAGGAUGACCCCAAGUUUAAAACCUCCUUUUUAUGUGGGAAUAAAGUGGCGCACGUGUGCGCCGUUGCAUGUACCUCAUGAAUAAGG
rnacentral:rRNA from 1 species